UACGGAGGGAGCUAGCGUUGUUCGGAAUUACUGGGCGUAAAGCGCACGUAGGCGGCUUUGUAAGUUAGAGGUGAAAGCCUGGAGCUCAACUCCAGAACUGCCUUUAAGACUGCAUCGCUUGAAUCCAGGAGAGGUGAGUGGAAUUCCGAGUGUAGAGGUGAAAUUCGUAGAUAUUCGGAAGAACACCAGUGGCGAAGGCGGCUCACUGGACCGGCAUUGACGCUGAGGUACGAAAGCGUGGGGAGCAAACAGG
rnacentral:rRNA from 1 species